AUAAUAUAUUCCAAAGCCUUGUUACAAGGGAGGGAAGAGCACCAGAGGCACAUAUCUCCAACAAAGAGGUUAAGAGCUUCGGGGGAGUGCCCCUUACGUAGGAUAUCUUUCCCUCUCUUUCUGUGCCCCUCCUAAUUACUAGCGCCUCAAACAAUUGGUCACUUUUUGGUUACCAAACAAGUAAUUUCAGAUCUUAAAAAACUGCAUAGAAAUUUCCUAGGUAUCAGAGCCACAAAAUUUUGAGUGCGUAAAUAGAAAACCAAGCGGAACGUCUUUCUUUUUUCUGUCAGACAGACACUGCUACGCUUCUCUAAUUCUGAGUCCUGUUGCCGCACUCAAAUUUAUGUGGCCCUGGUAGUCAGAGUAGUAGUAGAAAUGCUGCCUGAUUGUAGUCACUAGAGGUUACUAAGUAUACAUAAAUUAAUAAGUGUAAUGCUAUAUGACAGCAAAUGCAAAAGGCACAUUAUGACUGAUGUUGCUUACAAUGAGUUACUUCUUUUCCCUCAUAGAUUUUGCUGUUAUCUGAUUUCAGGUAACUUACAAGAGGUAAAUGUGGCUGCAAGGUUUUUGGAAAGAUGAAUCAAGUCCCAUAUGAUAUACCAGGAACACUAGUGUAAAAAAUCGCAGGAUUAUUUUAUGCAAUCAUUAAUCUUUUAGUCUUCGCUGUAAAAAAAUAAAGGAACAUUUGGAUGACAAGGAAAUCGUUUGCGGGGGAUCAGGAUUUUUUGUCGGUGUGGAUAUAAAUUAUGAAAAUAUUAAAAAUUAGACAUUUAAAAGUUUACAGUAGUCGAUUCAUCAAAAGUUAAAAAGUUCGUCAGAUUAUAUCCAUUGCUCUAAUUUGAAAAUGGAAACCGGGGUUGCUUGAGUAGAUGCUUUCUCAAUGCAUGGACUUUUUUAUUAUUCAGAACUGGUUGUUUCUUCCAAUAAUUUUAAAGCAAAGAUGAGCACAUUCAGUGGGAAGAAAUCAAAUGUUAAAAUAAUUUUGUGAGUUAAAUUCAAAAGUUAGUUCCUUUUGGAUUCGCGAAUCAAUUGAACACAUUUAUUUCUUGAUUUAAACAUAACCGUGUAUCAGAUUAAUUAUUUAUCAACACUUCGCAGAUGCCUUUCUAUCAGACCAUCUAAUAGAAUGUGUGAGAAGGAAGAACAUCUAAUAGAAGUUUGUAAUUUUCUGAUCAAUGAAAUGUUUUGAUAUUUACUUCCCAAAACAUCUUUUAACAAUUGACUAUUCACACAUUCAACCUAUUCACAUGGUAGCCUAUUUUAGUCAUGAUAUUUAUCAUAUUUAAUAAGAUCGAAGAUAAGAUAAGAUAAGAUAAGAUCAAGAACGGGGGUGAAGGAUGUCAUCGAAAAAGUGAUUGAAGCCAAAGGCAAGUGGGCAGGACAUGUAGCACGAAUGAAGAACCACGAAUGGGCUAAGAAAACGACAGAAUGGACUCUGUGGGACAGGAAGAGAGGAAAGGGAAGACCAAAGAAAAGAUGGAGAGAUGAGAUCGAGCAGAAGGCAUGCAGCACGUGGAUCCAGAGUGCUCAAAACCGUGAUGAGUGGAGAAAGAUGUGGAGGCCAUCCGCCAGCAGUGGUGUGAAAGGCUAAUGAUAAUGAUGAUGAUUUAUCAUAUUUAUCAACAUUUACCAAGAAAUACACCAAAUGUUUCAAUUUCAGUGCAUUCUAGAAGCCCUAGUUACUGUUUAUUCAAUUUUUCAAACCAAUAGGUAGACUUUUGAAACCUAUUUAGUUCUUCUUGCAUAUAAAUAAUUGUGAUGGUAAUUCGAUGUCAGCAUUUCCUCUGUGCCUUUACUGUUUCAUUACAACAUUUGAUUUGAACAAGGUAUCUUUUUGUAAUUUUGUAUUAUAUUAUACAUGUUACUUGCAGAAAAAUGUCUAUGUUUCUUGUUUUUUUUCUUUUUUUUUCUUUUUAUUUAUAAUUAAGUUAAAUUUCACUUAGGCCCAAGAUGAGUUGGACUUUAAGAAACCCCACUUAGAAUCAGAUUCAAGCGUAAACAUAAACAUAAAGAGCGUAAACGCUGUAGGGUAAAAAGUACCACAGAGUGGUUCGCAAGAGUCAAGUUCUAGAGGACUGUAUAUAUUCAGAAUAAAUGUAAGAUAAAUAGUUUGAUAGUUUGACGAACGAGAGAAAUAUGGAAAGAAAUCACCUGGUUGUCUUUAGAAAUACCACAAAAUCAUCAGAAAAACAGUACAGCAAGAAUGAUUCGAAUAAGAUUUAAUCUUCGUGAGAAUGUCAAUAUAACGACGUUUCGCAAGAGUUUUUUCAAAUGAAUGUUUUCAAUAGUGUGUAGAUACGUCUGUGCGCUAGCGUUUAGAUAAUAAUAAUAAAUUCCAAUUUGCCACACCUAUCAAUAUCGUAGCCUCGUUUUCAUGGUUCGCUCACAGGACAACUGCAAAUGAUGUUGCUUUAUGCCAGGAGAUUCUGGUUCUAGAACGAUAUAAAUAUAAAAUGGGUAGUAGAGAGGGGCCAGUGCUGGUAUUCUAUUGCGGAAAACUUGAAUUCCACAAGUCACCACAAAUUUUCUAUAGACCAGAGGGCUGUUAGAAACAGAAGAAAAGACGCUCAGAUAAGAUUGAUUAUCGAAAAGACAAAAAUAAGAAUGAGAAGCAUUUGAUGGAAACGAGGUUAGAACAAAAAGAAAGGGAACUUGAUAUUAAAGAAAAGGCCUUGAGAAUAAAAAAGUCGAAGGGAAUGUCCAACGAAGACGAAUUCAAAAUAAACAUCUUCUAUGUUGUGCUUGACUUGUCUUGGCUGGGAUCUCACUGAGAUUUCAAGAAACAAAAAAUAUUGCCUCAACUUUCAGCUUCUUGUGGCGAUACGUGGAAAUAGAAGAAACUAGGUUUAACAGCACUGUAAAAGAGUUUGCAGCCAACUAUGCUACUGAUGUUUCUCCGGAUCUUCUAGAAAAAAAGAUUCAGCUACGACAUCUCAAUCAAUUAAAGUUUGGAGACGUUUGUUUGAGCCCCUUAGAUCUCCUAAAUAAGCCUGGGAUUAAUGAGUCUCUUUCCAAAUCUCUUCAUCACUUUGAGAACUUUUUGCUGCCUUCCAGUUACUGUUGCGAGUGCAGAAAGAUCCUUCAGCAAACUCAACCUCAUAAAAAAUUGCACGAGGACCACAAUGGGACAAGUUCAGCUUAACAUCUUGGCUUUGCUAUCACUUGAGCGAGACAUUGCUCGAAAAUAGAUUUGCAAGAUGUUAUUGAUAUGUUUGCUGAAAGAAAAGCCUUACUCUCAGACAGUUAAAGACAUUAAAGCUACCUUGCCUGUUAACCUAUUUUGUUUACAUAAUGGGUGGGUGGGCCUCCUGGCAGACAAUCUCAUUCUUUUCAAAACGCCUUCAACCAGCUGUAGUCAAAUACAGAACCUUUGGCCGCGAACUACUGGCAAUUUAUCUCUCCAUACGCCACUACCUUGAGGGACGUCAAUUCUAUGUCUUAACUGACCACAAACCGUUAACCCAUGCCUUGUCAUCUUCACCAGAUCGCUACUCACAGCGAGAAACACGUCAUCUUGAUUAUGUCUCACUGUUCACCAACAACAUUCGUCAUAUCCAGGGAUCCAACAAUCCAGUAGCUGAUGCUUUAUCCCACAUGGAAUCAAUGCUAUACUGUUUCGUGUGCGACUUGGCCCUUGAAUGGAUUGAAUUAUAUUUUCAUAAUAAUUGGACUUUAAUGAGGACUUUCUGGACAUUUAUGGAUUGGUUGAUUUACUAUUGUUAUUCUGUUGCAUUGGAAGUAUUUUGUUGAUUCCAUUAAGAUACAUCGCGUUCGAAAUUGGAAUUAUUUUUCGCGCGUUUUAACUCUUUGCUCACGCCAUUUUUAUGUAACAACAUUUGAGUCCUGAAAAUUUUUUUUGCACGUAAUUCAAGGUAUGUUUAUUUUUUCGAAUAAAUUUGUUCUCUGAGAUAUUAUAGAGCAUUCAUUAUAUUCCUACUUUGGAAGGUAUGUUGUAACUAAAUCUAAAAGAUUUAUAUUGUCUUUUUUUGACGGAAUUUUGCAUUUUCUCAUACUUUUAAAUGGCUUUGGCCACCAUUUUUGUGUUACUUAAUAAAAAAAUUUUCCAGGCGAAUUUGCAAUUUCACCAAAUGUUUUAGAAAAUUAGAGCUCUUUGUGUGCAAAGUUGUAUAAAUAGUUGAAAAAUUUGACUCCUUGUAAUACAUUGUAGCGAAAUUUCAGAAAGAAGAUAUUACGAAAAAACCAUGGAAGUUGCAAGUCAAGAAGAACGGCCAGAAACCGUCACAGUAUGUUUUAAAAAUGAAAAAAGGUUAUUAUUUGCUUACUUCAUAAUACUAAAUAUAUACAAGUAUUUUCCUUUCAAAUAUUUGUAACUUACAUUAAAAAUUAAUGACUUAUAUACAGACUUUGCUUACAAUAAAUUUCAUGUAGUUGAUGGUCAAUCUUUGCAUUGGGAAUUUCGUUUCAAAUUUUACAGUAUUUAUUAGAUAAAAAAAUUUUUACUGUUGUAUUGUAAAACUUAAUAGUCACAUUCUUAUUCUCUUAGGAAAUACCAUUCGAAAAAAAUUGUAAACAUGAGAAGAACUGUGGCGAAAAAUUUCGAUAUAAAAGAUAUCAAGGGGAUUAUAUUAUUGAAUAAAGAGAAAAAGAAGCUCAAGGAACUUAGGUAUUUAUCUUCUCACAAUUGUAAAUCCUACUGUUGCACAGUAAAAAUUUGUUCAUUUUUCAAUUUAUAUGCUGCGAAUAUAUCAUUCUUUAAAUUAUUGGAAUUAUUUGAAGAUGGUAUAUUUCAUUUCUGAUUGUUAAUAAAUCUUUUAAUAUUUUAAUAUAAUGUACAGGCCAAUAUAUUCAAUUUUUAUUUCUCUAAUUCUCUUUCAGACCAGGGAUGACUAUUAUUAUCAGAAUCAUUAAGAAGAAAAGAAAAGAGCAGCAGCGGAGGGAAUUUCCUUUUUAUAGAAAGGAAUUUCCCUCCUUUUGUAAUAAUUUUUAUUCGGGAACUUUUCCGAAUAUGACUGUUAAUAAUAAUAAAUAGUUUUGUUCUUUUUAAAUAUGUUCCGUUGUUAAAUAUGUAAUAGUUUUGUUGUUUUAAAUGUUCCGCUGUUUGUUUGUUUCUUUUCAUAUUUUAAAUUAUGAAAUUUCAAAAUGAAAGAAAAAAACACAAAUUUUCUAUUUAGACAUUUAUAUUGAUAGAAUGGAAAAAACUUUAAAUUGUCGUUUUCUUUAAAAUUAUAUGACCAACAUUCCUUCAUAUUCUGCAUGUUAGUUUUAUUCAAUCUUCAUACUUGCAUAUCAGUAUAAAUUUAGGGUUUAUUUUUGGCUGUUUGAGAUGUUGAUAGAAUGGAAAAAACAAAAACAUUACCUGCCUGUUUAUGCUCAAAAUAUAACUUAUCUGACAAAAAGUUCUUGAUUAUUUGAAUAUUAAUUUCAUUCACUCUUCAUAGAUGUCCGUAUCAGUUUGAAUUUAAUGUUUCUAUUUAUAUGUUAUAUUUCUGUUUAGACUUUUUGUAUGUUGAAAUUUUGAAUUGUUGUGUUUAAAUAAUUAUAGAGAAUUUUAAAACAAUCCUUUUUUGCUCUUUCUGAUUCUAACUUCUUACACACAAUAUAAUUCUCUAACUGAAUUAACUAGACAAGUUUGGGUCCUGAUUAGAAUUUGCAGUUAUUUAUAAAGUAAAUAAAUUUGCAAAAAUUUCCAAUUUUAAGUUAUGCAUAUAAUGAAAUAGAAGAUUGGUCGCGGUUUCCAAUACAGAGGUAGCUGUUUAAAAAGGCAUUGCCGUCCAUCUUGUGAUUUAGUUUCAUAGCUUUAUUGUCAUAACUAACAAAUAAUAUAGAGUAGCUUUAGGAAGUCCGACCCUCCAUUUUGUGUUGCAAUUUCUAGGCAUUAUUGUCAUAACUCUUAGACGAUAUAGAGUAUGUUAGGGGCCAAAGGUUCAUUUUGAAGCUUUUUGCAAGGGGCAUCUUUUGGGGUGAUUAAUUUUCAGAUUGGGCGUGGCUGUCAUGUCAUAGUGACGUCACAGUCUUCAGUUUAAAUGAAUUUUGGAAAAUUAACUAAUGAUUGAUUUUGCUCGCCUUGCUAAAGAACAACAAGAAGACCCAGAACUUCCAUCUUUGCACAGUACAUCAUCUCUUUAUCUGAAAGAUGUUCCAUUGCCUUUUUCCUGGUACCAUCCUCUGUGACACUUUCACUGCUUCACCAAGACUGUAUGUUCCAACAUCUUUCCGCCAAAUUGUCUUCGACAGCCACCAUUCUCUGUCUCAUCAAGGUAUUGGUGCUACUCAACACCUGAUUACAUAACGUUUUGUCUAGCCCGGCAUCAACGAAGACAUUCCUGAGAGGACCCCUUCCUGUCAAAAGUGCCAACAACAAAAAAUUCAUUGCCACACCACUACUCCGCUUGGAACUUUUCUCACACCUGAUGCAAGCUUUGACCACCUAGACAUCGACAUCGUUGGCCCACUUCCACCGUCACAAGGAUACAAAUACCUGCUCACCAUAAUCAAUUGUUUCACUCGCUGGCCACAAGCCAUUCCACUCAUUGUUAUCACAGCUGAAUCAAUUGCCCCUGCUCUCCUUUCAAAUUGGAUUUCUUCCUUUGGUGUUCUGUCUACGAUAACAACCGACCACGGUGCCCAGUUGGAAUCUUCCCUCUUUGCCAAACUUACAUCUUUCCUUGGAAUAGAAUGCAUUCGCACCACUGCAUACCCAUGUGCCAACAGAAUGAUCAAACGCUUUCAUCGUUUCACAUCGCUCACAUCCCAUGUUCCAAAAGAUCUCCAUACCUACACCCAUGUUUUCGUCCGCACCAAUGCUGUUCGCAAGCCACUUGAUCCUCCAUACACCGGGCCAUUUAAUAUUCUUCGUCCCCAUACCAAUCAUUUCACUAUUUUCAAGUAUUCAAAAGAACAAACUGUCAGCGUAGAUCGCUUAAAACCAGCCUACCUUGACACAGACAUACUUCCUCCAAUUGCAGUUAAAAUAGCAACAGCACCUUCUUCCGCUCCAUCUGCUCCAAUUACUACUCCUUCACAUCAUCACCAAGCCCAACAACUCGCUCUGGAAAAAGACUUGAAUAUUGACUUGCUUGCUGUUUAACAAUUUGAACUUCAUAUAUAGAACAUUAUAAUAAUUCUUUUAUUGAUUUUAUCUCUACUUCUUUUAACGAAUGCUUCUCAUUGUUUCCAUUCUAGGGGGGAGCUAUGUAGCGACAAUUGUCAAACAUAACCAUGUCUUCCAUUGUAUCAAUGUCAUUAACACCUUCCAUUGUCUCUGUAACCACAGUAACGUAAUCAACUCUUGUAGCAUCCUCUCGUUUUAUGUGUAUACGCCCUGUAUUGUAGUUAGUUAGUUUUCAUUUUGCUGGAGAAAAGACGCGCAAAGAUUUGUUUUUAUUGUGUCGAUUGCCUAAGGCAGUGUAAACCAAGAAUGAAGAUUAUAAAGAUAAAGAUUCGUGAAAUCAGACAAUUACUAAUUUAUUAAUAGUUUGUUAUUCAUCCACAGCCACAAUUUGACCUAUUAAAAAGACAUCAGCCCUCUAAAACUACAUGCUGUCGCAUCUCAUUCAAGAGUUGCCCACAGAAAGAGAAAGAUAGCUCAGGUUUGAUCUAGAUUCAGGCAAAAACAGCUGGAUCUGCAAAUUACAAUGGCAAAAGCUAUAGAUGUCAAGACUAGAGAAUUGGAUCUAAGUUCAGGGGAGGAGAAGACAUUAACCAAAAGUGAACAGAAAACAAAAAAUUUUGAUGGCUUGCUUUUUCUAAUGAAAGAGAAGAUAAUGGCCUCAUCUCAAAAAGAAAUGAUAAAAAUUUCAACCCUGACACCAAAAUCUUGGUCAAUACGAAAGACUGCUGAAUUUUCCAAUGUAUCAAAUUAUCUAGUUAGAAGUGCAUUUAAAAUAAGAAAAGAGAAGGGUAUCUUAUGGAAGAGGGGAAGAGGGGAAAAUGUUUACCAAAUGAAAUUAUCCAGCUUGUUGAAGACUUUUAUUGUGUUUGUUCAAUUGAUCAGAAUGUAAAGCUGCUACUGAAGGCAGUAGAUUUGGAACAAUAUUAUCAUGAUAUUAUUGAAAUGAUUGUGUGCAACAGAAAAACAGAGAGUGCAUGAUACAUUGGUGUGUUAAUUGUCCAGGAACAAGAUGUUCAAAAGAUUACUUGAUGAGAACAUUUAAAUUCUGGCUUCAGAAAGGUUUCAACUUCAAUUAACUAUUUUGUUAUUUGUAAAUAUGAUCUCCAGUACUGGGUUGGCUUAAUUGAAGAAACGAAUAAAGGGUGAAGUGAAGGUUAGAUUUCUCCAUCCUAAAUGUCCCGCAAGGUCAUAUUUUUGGCCAGAGAGAGAAGAAACUUGCUGGUAACCAGAUGAACAAGUCAUUCAAGAUCUGCAGUUCCUGUCUACGUCCACUGGAAGGCAAUACAAGUUGAGCAAUGACGAUGAAAAGAUGUUGAAACUUCUCAAGAACAUCUAAAAACCUAUUUGUAUCUAAAAACAUUUCAAUUAUUGCUUAGCAUUUAAAUCUUAUUUUAUUAUUCAUCGUAUAGGCUUACAAGUGGCUCUGUUACAAAAUCCUUAUUCUGAUAGCACACAAUUCAUGACUCCAGAAAUUCUGGAUAUAAAUGAGUUGUCCAUAUUUAUGAUAUUUGUCUUACACUCUGAUUCUGAAUUUUCAGGUCAAGAACAAGUUACAAUGCUAAUUAUGUCAAUUUGAAACAUGUCAGCGUCUGUGCACAAAAAACACAAUGAACCUAUUUUUUAAACAAUGUGUAUCUUUAGUAGCAUACAAAACACCAUCACCAAACUUCAUAGUCUCCUUAAGCAUUAUAUCAACUUGAUUCAUGACAAAUUUCAUCAUGAUCUGUUUGGACCCAUUUUGGCUAUUUGCACUUAAAUAAUGCAAUGUUUGCAAAAAAGUUUUGACCAACUAUUUCAAUUUGAAUCACCUGUAGAAUGAUAACUGUGAGGUUUACAGAAUUUUGCAUUUGAUAGUUGGAAUCUCCAUAGCAAGUUCCAUCAGAUUGCGUAAUUUUAUCAGUAUCUAAAAUAUAGUACUUGAUAGGAGACCAUUAUUCUACAGCCAUUUCUUGUAAAAAAUGGGCAGUGGCUUUCUUUGCAUAAGGGUGUGGUCAUCAAUAUGUAACAUCUCAUAACUCGGAAACAAUACAAGGUACUGAGCUGAAAUUAUCUGUGUAUUUUAAAAGUACUUUAAAAGGGACUACCUGCCUAAAGUUAUGAAUCAAUCUAAGUACAUGGGUAUCAUAUCUGUGUUGAUUAGACGUGGAAUACCCCCAUUAUUAGAAAAUCACUAAAAUAUACCUAGAGGGUGGUGAUUUUUCACGCCAAAUAAAUGUUGGGCACUGCUGGGUCUCUUCUCUCUUUGGGGUUGAUUCAAGAGAAUACUCAUUUCCAACCCUCCUUCUUUGCUAAUAGUACACCAUCUCAACGAGACCACAAUCUUUUGUCAUUCUCAGGAAAUUUUGGUUGUUGCAUUUAGAGACCGUAGAUUAUUUCUGGCAAACGCUGUCUACAUCAUUUUAUUGUAAUUGGAAGUAGUCAAGCUUCGAUAAUAUAGAUAUUGCAAUUUCUUGAGCAAUACCACAAUAAGUUUUCAAGAACAAGUAAGAGGGAAUGGAUAUACUUGUUGCAUUAACUGAAGAUAAUACAGGUUUAUCAGGAGCAUUCUGGUAAAAUUCUGGCAAAACAGGUAUAAUUCUUGUAAAAUGACUGUGUAGCAUCAAUUUCAUCAAGGUGCGGUAACUAUGGCAUUUUAUAGAUUGUUGUGAAAUAAGAUGUUAUGAAUUCAAUAGCAAAAUAGAACCGUAUGAGCGUCAAUUAGAAUUAAGUACUUGUGCAGCUGGAAAUUUCUUAUUCACGGUGUCCAAGAGACCACUGAAGCUGGCUUCAGCUCUUUUCAUGAUGCAGUGGCUUGCCACAUCAUUGGUACAAACCAACAGUACCACACAGGAUGGGCUUUUGUCCUGUGGAAAUAUCACAUCUUCGAUCUACAAUAGUUAAAAGUUUAUUUUUUAUACUCACAGUUUAUUUUAAAAGUUUAUUUUAUUUUUUAUAUAACAGUUUAUUUUACUCACUGGAAAAGAACAUCUACUUCGACAAAGAAAGAAAAUAAAGUGUUGCUGUAGUAGGACUGUACACUACGUCACAUCGUUCUAACCUCGCUUUCACAUUAUAUAGCCUUUGUUCAAUUAUAAAUGAUCAGUCAGUUUAUAUUCUGGCUAUGGGUUGCAUGUUAUUUCUGUCUUGCUCUUCAUUCUAAAGACUAUUCAAAGUAAUAGGUACAACUAGACCUAUUAUAUUGCUUGGGGGGAGGAGGGCGAAGCCAACUUAUAUUUAUGUUAUAGUUAUUUUUGAGGCAGCCCAAUUUGUAUAAACAUAAUUUUGAUGACUCAAAUGAUCAUGUGAUUUAUCGCAAAAUUCAUCACAUAAUUGUCUAAAAUCAUCUUCAUUUUUAAAUUAUAUCUAUGCGUCUUUUGUUUGUCAGCAGCAACAAAACUUUCCAAAACAUAUUUAAGUAUUUGAAAUCAAUUCGAUUUUGUUUAUUGAAAUAAAUCCACACCAACAUACCUAAUUGGGAACAUACCGAUAAAAACAUCCAGAAGUGGCAUUGAUGUACAAGUCAUAUUAUGAAAACUCUUGAUGUGAGGAAGUUUACCUCCGUCUUAUUUAGAUAUCUUAUAGAACUUUACUGAAUUUUUUUAAUAGAAAGUGAACAAGAGAGGAAGAAGCGUGGACUCAGAUCGAUUUUGUAUUUUGAGAAAGUUAGAGUUUAAAAUGAAAAGUGAGAUUGCUUUGUUUCGAAAGAAAAUAUCUGAAUUCGAAUUUGUUCUUUGGAUAUCUGCCUAAUUUUUUGACACUGACAAUGAAAAAAUCACUAAGAACACUUUUUUUACCAACAUUUGAGCUAGAAACAUACAUUAGUUCUUGUGAAAAUGCAAAAAGCAGUACUCUUGUCAGGUAAGCACAACCUUUUUUAACAUUUUUAGCAUCCGCUUCUUGUUUUCUUUCCACAUAGGAAACACUUUUGUCUAUCCUGUAUGUGAACUGGCCAGUGCUCCUUUCCACCAAAACCACCAACCACCAAAAAGGGUUGCUCAAGGUCCUUGCAUAUAUGGAGCUUUUCUUGGUCUUUACACUUUCUACGCCUUCAUUGCUAGUCUAGUCUAGCAAGUCUAGCAAGUAGACUCAAGUCUAGAAAGUCAGUUUCCUUUGCUUUUGGAACUCCCUUGUGCAUUGCAAGGUGUCUUUAUAAAAACAAUUCGUUUAUAAGAAUUUUUUCCAGUAUCCAAGUGCAAAUUGUCAUGAAGCCUUUUCUGCUUCUGUGCUCCAACCUGUAAGCUGCUUAAAACAUAUCAAAUUUACCUUCAAAUCCAAUACUUCUGUUGUAGGUCUCAGCAGUUGAUGAUAUUUCAAUGGGUUUUUUUCACUUCAUGACCAUCUCCUUACUGCAUCAACUGGUUCUGUAUAGGCAUAAUUUGAUACAUACGGGAAAAUUUUGUUGUUGAGCCAACAAAGAGCAGUUAAACCUGAAUUUAGAUCUAAGAGCCAUCAAAAGAGACAUGACAUUCUUUUCAACUCUUUUCAGACUUCAGUUUGGCAUCCUCUCAGUUUCCCCUGAUAAAGAGUUCAAUCUUUCCAAAACUUUGAAUCUUCUGUCUUAGUGACAACUUAAGACAGUUGAAGUAAUUAUAAAAAUAAAUCUUGUAAUUUUGACCCUCAGGCAGAAAAAGCUAGCUUUAGAGCCAAAUCACCAGCAUCAUAUCCAAAGCUUUCUAUAGAGGAGGCACGAGUAUUUAGAGCUUCUUCCAUGUCAAAAUCACAGCAUAACCCAGUCUACCUGUUUCAGGAAAACAGCUCGAUUCCCAUCUUUUGGGCUUUUUGGAAAAAAAAUUUUUCAGGAAAUAAUCUAUUCAUCAACAGAGUUGUCUUACUCAAGCUUUGUUUGAUGGCCUUUCUUCCUUUUUUCAAACAGGGAUCCGACUUUGAAUAUCUUGGCUCCCUUGCCAAGGUUGUGUUGAAUUGUCAACGAAAUGGGGGAACCUUUUAACUUCUUCAAACCUCUAUUGGAUCAUUUCUUUGGCAACAUCAUCAUAUCUUUUGCAGCUCUCUCAGUGGAUCGUGUACCUGGGCAUUUGCACAAUUCAAAUUCCUAGCAGAAUGCUUAUGGAUAUUGAGUCGAGUAAAGAUUUGUUUGCUCUGCAAUCAAGAUUAUCCUUGUCAAGAUCAGAAAAAAAAGGCAAUUCGGUUUUCCACCUCUUCAUAUCCUGUAAGGGUUUAAUCACCCUUACAUAUGCUCUCCCUGAAUGACUGCAAAUGACUUGUUUCCAAGCAAGUCACUGUGCUUUUGAACUCAAAACAAAAAAAUCAAGUGAAUCAUUUGGUUGAGCACUUGGCACAUGUACACUAUUGGCUUACCACUUCCAGAGUAAAUUGUGCUUUGCCACUCAUUUGGGUGCUAUUAACAACAAGAUUGCAUAUUACAAGAUUCAAAGUUAAUGUUUUUUUACAAGUGCAAGUAUAAAAUGGAUUCAAAUAACUCUUUUCAGAUCUAGUGAGCAAAAAUGUAAGGAAGAACUUGAAUGAGAUACUAAGAUUAGAGAACUUAAUAGAAGCUGGAUAACCGAAUUCUGAACAAGGGUCUUCUAAACACAUGAACCCUUUAUAACGGAAUAAAGCUGGCAACAAAGGAAUCAAAGAAUAUAGAUGACAAACGAGUGAAAGACCACAAAAAGACCCUUGUCCAAAGUGAACAAUUGUCCAAAGUUGAUGAGAAAAAUAAACAAAAAAAACGUAAGAUAAAUGAAAAAAAUCAGAUACAAACAACAACAAGGAAGGAAGAAAAAAGAGUAAAGAUUAUGAUGUUAAUUAAAAUUGGGGGAAAUGAGGCGAUUCUCCCAUUUCCUAGACUCAAAAGUCUACCUCAAUGGAAUGAGUGGACAGAGUUUGAGAAAGACAAUGUAGAAAUAUGUGCCCACAGAGGAACAACAAGUGUUGAUAUGACUGUAAAAGGCAAACUAUCUGCUGGUAUCCCGUGCAACCAAGAAUUUAAAGGUACUAUGUCCUAAAGUCUUUCUCUGACCAUUUUCAUUUCCAUUGGUUAGAUUUGAAAGUAGUUUGUAAUACUUUACAUUAGACCUAUUGUUACAGAGCCAAAUUACUAAUCUACAAUGUUUUUUUUAAACUUUAAACACACUGCAAAGCCUAUUGUUAUCUCUGAAUGAUUGAUUGAUUGACCGGACGUAGUGCCUUGAACAAAAAAUGCCAAAGACUUGUACAAAGUUGCCAUCAAGUCAAUUGUUGUAUCUAGCUAUUCAUCUAACAAUCAGUCUAACAAUCAACCUAAUAACCUGUGUGAUCAAAAACAUUCUGAUGAUAAGAGCAAAAGUGAAGCAAUAUGGCCUAAAUGUACUAAGACUCCCAGAGCAUGAUCCGAUACCAGACGUUCGCCAGACGCUUGCCAGACGCCAGACGUUUUUAAGCAGCUUUGUCAAUGGUACAUUUUCAAUUUUAUUCAAGAGAUGUGAUAGACGGAGGAGGCAGGGAGACACAAAUUCGAAAGCAGGAAGACGUUUCUGAAUUUUUCCACUGCCUAAACAAGCUUCAAAUUGUAUCAAGUUUCUCCCUUGUUGCAUUGUCAGUACAACUCUACAUCACAUAAUCACAUUGCUUUUUUGUGCUAUGUUUGCACUUCCAGCGAGAAAUGUGUUUUAGCACUCAUUUUUCUGUUGGAAGCUUCACAUACUAUUUACAAUGAUGAAAUUGCAACUGCACAUCUGGGUGUUGGUAGAGCAACGAGUUUCCGUGUGGUUGUUAAAGCCACUAUCCACAUUACAAGUGUAAUUAUAACAUGGGUUCAAAUAACUCCUUUCAGAUUUGGUUGAGCAAAAACGUCUCAGGUAGCGCAAAAUUGCCAUUUUUGAUAAGAUACUGAGAUUAAAGACCCCAGGAGAAGAUAAAAUCCUCAAUGAAGGACAACUUCAUGCACCAUCUACCAUUUAAAAAUUGAAAGUACUAGUAAAUUGAAGUGAUUGCCCCUAGUGGUUGCCACCAGUCGAUGAAUGAAUGAAAUGCCAACAAUAAAUGAGUGACAUGCCUUUAUAAGCAAUUGUGUUAGAGGCUGAUGUAUGAUGUAUAUUUUUCUCAGUGCUAAUUGCAACUUUAGCAAGAGUAGCAAAAGUAAAGUGGUGCUCGUUGCAAAGUUGACUUAAAAACCAGAGCCGCUACGUUUUAUUUGCAAGCCAAGGGCUCUUUAUCAUAUCAAGAAAUUUCAAUUAAUUGUCAUUUACAACCAACUAGUACUGUUUGUAUUCACAAGGAAGCAUUGGCCAUAAAGAAGAAGAAGAGAAAACAGGCCAACCACAACCUAUAAGUAAAAGAGAAAAGCAGGGACUCCCGACAACAUUCCAGCAGUUAAAGAACCUUUGCUGACAGAACCUUUGUUCACAAAGAAAUUGAUAUUUCGAUUAAUGACAGAGAAGGAGAAAGCGAGCUUGAGGUAGGCAGACUUUCUUAGUAAAUUAUGCCCAGUUUCCUACUUAUUUGUAGAUUUUGCCGUAUUUCCUACUGGCCCCUUCUUGAUGUUGUUAGGCCCAGAGAGAUCAUGUCUGAAGACCAUGAACUGUGACGAAUAUUUCUUUAGGAAACAAUAUCACCCUCUGCUUUAUACUUUUUUGUGCUUUUUUUGCCAUUGGUGAUUAAAAUGUCGUGUUUUUUAACAGAGGCUUACUUGUGUAUGUAACACAACUUGUCUCAGGUGUCUCAGCCUUCCUACAUUCUUGACCGAGGUCCUAAACCUUAGACCGCUGCAGUGCCUAUUUAGGAUUUGCAAAGAGACUAUUUUCUGUCACAUGUCAAACUUUUCACUCCGGAAUCUUCCAACUGGAAAUACAACACUAUAAAUUAUGUCCAAAUCUGUUGAAUAUUUUAAUUUUAGCCAGGAUCUAUUGACCAAAUUGAGCGGGCAGCUGAAGGAAUGAUACAAGAUGGAGAUAUAAAUAUGGAACAAGAAACAAUUUAAGGAAAACAAAGAGUCAAGGUAUUGUUUUCUCCUCCCUUUUUCAACCCAUUGAGGAAACUCCUCCCUAAGAAAUUCAACUCCAUACACAUUAAGUGAUACUGUAUUAAGUUUAAUAAUGUCAUUUUUUUCAAUCCUUGUUAACUUCUCUGCAACUAAUUGGCUUGUAAAUAGUGGCUUGUUGAUUAAGAUUUAAGUUAGGGAUAUCAGUUUAGGGUCGUUUGGAACUCUGACAAGCCUUUCCACUGCUGUGUCUUUCUUUUCUUUAGUUUCAACAACAAUUUUUGCAAGGCAGUAUGGUAUAUAUUUAUAGCUUUCUGUUCCUUAACAGGUUCAGCAGUAAAUUUCCUAGAAUUUUUAUUGUAUUUUCUUUUAAAACACUGCUUGCCAUCGCAUGUGAGAGCCAAAGGUGGAUUUAAAUGUAUACUGUGGUCAAAAGCAGCCAAAGCCAUCGGUGUCUUGAAAUAUGGAUAGUCAUAUGCAUUUCUUUUAGAGGCAUACUUCAUCAGCAUACUGUUGACAUCUACAUCAUACCUGUAUGCCUGAACUUUGAAAAGUACGACAAGUUUGACAAAAGCUUUCUGUCAAGUACCACUGAUCUCAGCUAUUCCAAAGCGACAGAAUUCUUUAAGAGGUACACCUUUGGCUCAGCUGACGAGAGAGGGCCAUGCAAACAUUCAGAUUCCUUCCAUAUGUGUUCAUUGCAUACAUGAUGCAAAACACCAAUCCAAAUAUCUUUCAACUUUUCAGCGUCACCAUUGGAAACUUGACAAGCAAACAAAAAGUGGUUGACUAUUACAGCAAUCAAUGGUUUCGGUGAUUUUGCAGCUUUGUCUUGUGCUGUUUUGUGCAAUUUUUUAGAAAUAUUUUUGGCAGUAUGCCAAAUAUCAAGGCAGUGAUCUAGCCAGUUCAGGGUGUGAAUCUGAAAUGAAAAUAAUUCUUAAGAAUAUAAUUAAUUCUUAAAUUAUGAAUUCUUAAGUCCAAAAUAAACAUGGCAAGUUAGCAUUCAAUUGUUAAUAUAAAAAGAUUAAAAGUAUUAACAAUUGCAAUAAUGAACUAUGGAGAAAAGCCGCUGAUACAGCAGGAGGAAUCUGUUAGAUCUAGAUGAAUAUUGUAUCGGCCGGAAAACACGAGAAAGGCUUUCUUUCAUGGUUCAUUGGCAAUAACUAUAAGUUUUUUUCAAGUAACAUGUUUCAGAAUGGUUUAUUGAAC